rnacentral:lncRNA from 1 species
GCAGACCUGAGAGCUGAAAGCAACUUUUCAAAAUGGCAAGUGAGGUGCUGUACACCAUGGUGUCACCCAAGGAAAAAGUGAAUUUUAUUUCAGAAGCUUCAGAUACAGGUGAUGCAGUCACCUAUGCUGUGGUGAAUAUCAAAGGGAGAUCCGACAGACCUGACAGCACACCCAAAAUUACACAUUCAGUGACCUGCUUGAAGAAGUCCCCCUGGUGCUACCUUGUGCUCGUCCUGCUGUUCUGUGCUGCAGUUCUGCUCCUCAUGGUCAUCCUACUGGCAGUGAAAUGUUAAAGCCACUGACCCUGCUGCCCCUCCGGUCAGCACAGGAAGGUUCUGAUUCUUCAGUGGAACGGGACAUAGUGCUUGUUUUAUUUUACAUUAUUUUGGUUGAAGAGACGAAAUGGAGACAUGCCAUCAGACUGAUCACUCUCCAGUUAUAUCAUCCCAGAUCUCUGUUAAACCUCUAACCUCUCCAUAUAUGGACAAGGCAUAGUAAUUUUAUUUAGAAUUUUCUUAAUCCUGUAAUACCAGCAACCAUCCAACUGUAUCAGUGCAUGUAUCAAGACAUGGGCUCAAGCUCCUGCACCAAAAGGUGGAUUUGGGCCUUGUUUAGACAACAAAAAUGGCCAGAUGGAGACAAUACUUUUAAUUCACAUCUGACUUGAUUCUGCACUGAUGUGUAACACAGAUAAACUUUUGGAUUCUAUGCAAGUGCAAAAACUCACAGACAAAACAGGGAAUGUGCAAGGUUGCACUGAGGUUUUUUAUAAAGCCUGGGCUUGGACUUGAUUUUUCUUCUAACAGCCUUCAGUUGGAUUUGUAUGAAAGGUAUAUUGAAGAAAGGGAUAUUGAAGAAACUAAAUGUAGUUAGUAGAGGUCUCGAUUUCAUUUCUUCAUUGGCUUGAAUUAAAUUAUUCUGUUCCAACUGUCCAGAAGAGCAUGUCACAAUAUACUGUUUCUGUCUUGGGGCAGUAAUUGAUUUUUGUAUUUGUUUGUUUGGUUUUUUUUUCCCCCACAUGUCAUAGCUUCAGUUAAAACAGAGUCCUCCACUGGAACGGAGGCACCUGAAAUUCAAAUGCAUUAGUUUGUAAUUAUAUAUCUUAUUGUCUGUUUUUACAUUAUUUCUGGAUCUUAUCCAUUAUAACUUCUUUGUGGCAGGUUGCGGAGGAUUUGCAGACCCUGAGUAGGAGGAGUCUGUAUAGCAAAUAUUUCUAGAGUAUUUCUUGUAUCUAAACUUACCUGUACUUUAGCUGUUGCUGCUGUUGGCAAUGUACCCCAUCUUUAUUAUAUAUAUAUAUAUAUAUAUAUAUAUAUAUAUAUGCACAGAAGUCAAUAAAGGGA